CGAUUCAGAAGCUUACGAUUGACGGAGCGAAGCGACGUCAAAGCGUAUACAAAGUCGAGUCGGUUUAAGGAUACGUUCGUUGGGUAGGGGAGCGUUCUGUAAGCCGUUGAAGGUGUCCUGUGAGGGGUGCUGGAGGUAUCAGAAGUGCGAAUGCUGACAUAAGUAACGAUAAAGCGGGUGAAAAGCCCGCUCGCCGGAAGACCAAGGGUUCCUGUCCAACGUUAAUCGGGGCAGGGUGAGUCGACCCCUAAGGCGAGGCCGAAAGGCGUAGUCGAUGGGAAACGGGUUAAUAUUCCCGUACUUGGUGUUACUGCGAAGGGGGGACGGAGAAGGCUAUGUUGGCCGGGCGACGGUUGUCCCGGUUUAAGCGUGUAGGUGUGUGUUCCAGGUAAAUCCGGUUCACUUUAACACUGAGGCGUGAUGACGAGGCACCACGGUGCUGAAGCAACAAAUGCCCUGCUUCCAGGAAAAGCCUCUAAGCAUCAGGUAACAUCAAAUCGUACCCCAAACCGACACAGGUGGUCAGGUAGAGAAUACCAAGGCGCUUGAGAGAACUCGGGUGAAGGAACUAGGCAAAAUGGUGCCGUAACUUCGGGAGAAGGCACGCUGACACGUAGGUGAAGUGAUUUACUCAUGGAGCUGAAGUCAGUCGAAGAUACCAGCUGGCUGCAACUGUUUAUUAAAAACACAGCACUGUGCAAACACGAAAGUGGACGUAUACGGUGUGACGCCUGCCCGGUGCCGGAAGGUUAAUUGAUGGGGUCAGCGCAAGCGAAGCUCCUGAUCGAAGCCCCGGUAAACGGCGGCCGUAACUAUAACGGUCCUAAGGUAGCGAAAUUCCUUGUCGGGUAAGUUCCGACCUGCACGAAUGGCGUAAUGAUGGCCAGGCUGUCUCCACCCGAGACUCAGUGAAAUUGAACUCGCUGUGAAGAUGCAGUGUACCCGCGGCAAGACGGAAAGACCCCGUGAACCUUUACUAUAGCUUGACACUGAACAUUGAGCCUUGAUGUGUAGGAUAGGUGGGAGGCUUUGAAGCGUGGACGCCAGUCUGCGUGGAGCCGACCUUGAAAUACCACCCUUUAAUGUUUGAUGUUCUAACGUGGACCCGUAAUCCGGGUUGCGGACAGUGUCUGGUGGGUAGUUUGACUGGGGCGGUCUCCUCCUAAAGAGUAACGGAGGAGCACGAAGGUUGGCUAAUCCUGGUCGGACAUCAGGAGGUUAGUGCAAUGGCAUAAGCCAGCUUGACUGCGAGCGUGACGGCGCGAGCAGGUGCGAAAGCAGGUCAUAGUGAUCCGGUGGUUCUGAAUGGAAGGGCCAUCGCUCAACGGAUAAAAGGUACUCCGGGGAUAACAGGCUGAUACCGCCCAAGAGUUCAUAUCGACGGCGGUGUUUGGCACCUCGAUGUCGGCUCAUCACAUCCUGGGGCUGAAGUAGGUCCCAAGGGUAUGGCUGUUCGCCAUUUAAAGUGGUACGCGAGCUGGGUUUAGAACGUCGUGAGACAGUUCGGUCCCUAUCUGCCGUGGGCGCUGGAAGACUGAGGGGGGCUGCUCCUAGUACGAGAGGACCGGAGUGGACGCAUCACUGGUGUUCGGGUUGUCAUGCCAAUGGCACUGCCCGGUAGCUAAAUGCGGAAAAGAUAAGUGCUGAAAGCAUCUAAGCACGAAACUUGCCCC
rnacentral:rRNA from 1 species